UACGGGGGGGGCAAGCGUUGUUCGGAAUUACUGGGCGUAAAGGGCUCGUAGGCGGCCAACUAAGUCGGAUGUGAAAUCCCCAGGCUUAACCUGGGAACUGCAUCCGAUACUGGAUGGCUUGAAUCCGGGAGAGGGAUGCGGAAUUCCAGGUGUAGCGGUGAAAUGCGUAGAUAUCUGGAGGAACACCCGUGGCGAAGGCGGCUCUCUGGGACGGUACUGACGCUGAGACACGAAAGCGUGGGUAGCAAACAGG
rnacentral:rRNA from 1 species